rnacentral:lncRNA from 1 species
UUUUUAUGCUUUGUUACAAAAGUUCAUGAUAAGCUUUUUGAUAACAGUUGGUGACCUGUAGUUAAAACACAGAUACUAACUUGUAGAGCACUGAUUAGAAACCGCGAUAAAACGAUACAUAUAUUUAGUGGGUGUUUUGUGCAAUUCAGUUAACCAAUACAUGAAGGAACCUGCAUUCAGUUACAAAAAACUUAAUCAGAUGUGUGGUAAUGCUAUAAUUGUUGACUAUAAGACUCAUUUUGAGCUUAAAGGUCUGAUUGUUACAGUAAAAUAAUUUGAAAUGUCCGCUUUUAGAACUUCCGUGUAGUAUUUACGCCAUAUCUCUAUCUGUAUGGUUAUAUUGACGACCAAGGUGAAUAU